rnacentral:rRNA from 1 species
CAAGUCGAGCGGAGAGGAAGGAGCUUGCUCCUGAAUCUUAGCGGCGGACGGGUGCGUAACGCGUGAGCAACAUGCCCGUCACAGGAGGAUAUCCAUGGAAACGUGGUCUAAUACUCCAUAGUAUCGGAGUGAGGCAUCUCAUUCUGAUUAAAGCUUCGGUGGUGACGGAUUGGCUCGCGUGACAUUAGCUAGUUGGUGAGGUAACGGCUCACCAAGGCGACGAUCAGUAGCCGGCCUGAGAGGGUGAACGGCCACAUUGGGACUGAGACACGGCCCAAACUCCUACGGGAGGCAGCAGUGGGGAAUAUUGCACAAUGGGGGAAACCCUGAUGCAGCGACGCCGCGUGAGUGAAGAAGUAUUUCGGUAUGUAAAGCUCUAUCAGCAGGGAAGAAAAUGACGGUACCUGACUAAGAAGCCCCGGCUAACUACGUG